rnacentral:lncRNA from 1 species
GCACCUUCAGCCUUCGUCAGGUGUAUUUCGUCCAACUGCAAUUGCCAGGUGGUUUUGCAGGUGCCUGAUGCCUGUGCCCACUCCCGCAUGCUCAUGUGAGCGGCGAUCACUUGCCAUACAUCAGGAGAAAAUCCUACAUCUCUACAGCACUCCUUUGCCAUCCUGCAGGUGCAUCAGCGCGAUGUGAUCCUUCAGUGCUGCUCUCCAAGCACGGAGACAGGUGGACAUAAACGCUCAAUCUGCAGGCGGCUUGCUCGUUGCGAUAAGUGAUGGAAGGGGAUUUGGAUCACUUCUGCCAUAUUGAUAUGAGUUGAUGAAAGAAAUGAACCCAAUCGCCUUGAACAAACUGCCACCAUUAGAUUGUAUAUUACGCUUCCAAAGACUCCCUUUCUGGAUAAAGAACGCACCUAUGACCUCCGGUUAAUUCAAUUUGAUAUACAGGAUGCGUCAAUACCUCAAUUUUGAGCAUUCGCUUUCACCAGUUGCCA